rnacentral:rRNA from 1 species
UGGGGAAUUUUGGACAAUGGGCGCAAGCCUGAUCCAGCCAUGCCGCGUGCGGGAAGAAGGCCUUCGGGUUGUAAACCGCUUUUGUCAGGGAAGAAAUCUUCUGAGUUAAUACCUCGGGAGGAUGACGGUACCUGAAGAAUAAGCACCGGCUAACUACGUGCCAGCAGCCGCGGUAAUACGUAGGGUGCAAGCGUUAAUCGGAAUUACUGGGCGCAAAGCGUGCGCAGGCGGUUUUGUAAGACAGAGGUGAAAUCCCCGGGCUCAACCUGGGAACUGCCUUUGUGACUGCAAGGCUUGAGUGCGGCAGAGGGGGAUGGAAUUCCGCGUGUAGCAGUGAAAUGCGUAGAUAUGCGGAGGAACACCGAUGGUGAAGGCAAUCCCCUGGGCCUGCACUGACGCUCAUGCACGAAAGCGUGGGGAGCAAACAGGAUUAGAUACCCUGGUAGUCCACGCCCUAAACGAUGUCAACUGGUUGUUGGGAAGGUUCCUUCUCAGUAACGUAGCUAACGCGUGAAGUUGACCGCCUGGGGAGUACGGCCGCAAGGUU